rnacentral:rRNA from 1 species
UACGAAGGGGGGCUAGCGUUGCUCGGAAUCACUGGGCGUAAAGCGCACGUAGGCGGCUUUCUAAGUCAGGGGUGAAAUCCUGGAGCUCAACUCCAGAACUGCCUUUGAUACUGGAGAGCUUGAGUCCGGAAGAGGUGAGUGGAACUCCGAGUGUAGAGGUGAAAUUCGUAGAUAUUCGCAAGAACACCGAUGGCGAAGGCAGCCCCCUGGGCCAACACUGACGCUCAGGCACGAAAGCGUGGGGAGCAAACGAGG